UAAGGAAUAUUGCGCAAUGGGCGACAGCCUGACGCAGCGACGCCGCGUGGGGGAUGAAGGUCUUCGGAUUGUAAACCCCUUUCGGCAGGGAAGAUGGAACGGGUAACCGUUCGGACGGUACCUGCAGAAGCAGCCACGGCUAACUUCGUGCCAGCAGCCGCGGUAAUACGAAGGUGGCAAGCGUUGUUCGGAUUUACUGGGCGUACAGGGAGCGUAGGCGGUUGGGUAAGCCCUCCGUGAAAUCUCCGGGCCUAACCCGGAAAGUGCGGAGGGGACUGCUCGGCUAGAGGAUGGGAGAGGAGCGCGGAAUUCCCGGUGUAGCGGUGAAAUGCGUAGAGAUCGGGAGGAAGGCCGGUGGCGAAGGCGGCGCUCUGGAACAUUUCUGACGCUGAGGCUCGAAAGCGUGGGGAGCAAACAGGAUUAGAUACCCUAGUAGUCCCUGAGCGGGCUGGCAAGGCGCAU
rnacentral:rRNA from 1 species